GUUAAUGUAGCUUAAAUAAUAAAGCAGGGCACUGAAAAUGCCAAGAUGAACCACCCCGGCUCCAUAAACA
rnacentral:tRNA from 1 species